GCAGUCGAGCGGAAGGCCCUUCGGGGUACUCGAGCGGCGAACGGGUGAGUAACACGUGAGUAAUCUGCCCCAGGCUCUGGGAUAGCCACCGGAAACGGUGAUUAAUACCGGAUACGACAACCGAUUGCAUGAUCUGGUUGUGGAAAGUUUUUCGGCCUGGGAUGUGCUCGCGGCCUAUCAGCUUGUUGGUGAGGUAAUGGCUCACCAAGGCUUCGACGGGUAGCCGGCCUGAGAGGGUGACCGGCCACACUGGGACUGAGACACGGCCCAGACUCCUACGGGAGGCAGCAGUGGGGAAUAUUGGACAAUGGGCGGAAGCCUGAUCCAGCAACGCCGCGUGAGGGAUGACGGCCUUCGGGUUGUAAACCUCUUUCAGCACAGACGAAGCGCAAGUGACGGUAUGUGCAGAAGAAGGACCGGCCAACUACGUGCCAGCAGCCGCGGUAAUACGUAGGGUCCGAGCGUUGUCCGGAAUUAUUGGGCGUAAAGGGCUCGUAGGCGGUCUGUCGCGUCGGGAGUGAAAACCAGGUGCUUAACACCUGGCCUGCUUUCGAUACGGGCAGACUAGAGGUACUCAGGGGAGAAUGGAAUUCCUGGUGUAGCGGUGAAAUGCGCAGAUAUCAGGAGGAACACCGGUGGCGAAGGCGGUUCUCUGGGAGUAUCCUG
rnacentral:rRNA from 1 species